GUCGUAACAAGGUUUCCGUAGGUGAACCUGCGGAAGGAUCAUUAAGGAGUUGCUCCGCCUUGCUGGCUUGACCGCCGGCUCGGUGGGGAGGAGAACGAGUUCUCGGGUCUCCUCGCUUCGUUCGGACCGCCGUUCCCGCUCGCUUGUCUUGCGGGGAGGUGGGUCGAGGGAGCGGGGUGAGCCUUGCGGCCCGAGCCUGUCUGCUCGGUGCCGAUCACGCCAUGUCCGGUCCGGUCGGAGCCCUCGGCUCCCCGGGCUCGCUGGUGGCCCUCUGCGGGGAAGCUGGACGACUGGGUUGGCGACAGCCCGCCCGGACGACCGUUCGUCCCCGCUUUGGGUUUGAAUGUGCACCUACCCUCCCCGGUGGCGGGUUGUGAAAAGGAGAACGAGUGGUGAAGUUUCUUAACUAUGGUGCUCGGGUGAGGUGGGCUGGGCGUGGCGGACGCUUCUGCUGGCUGGGCCCUCUUCUCCCCUGCUCCGGAACGAAGGAAAUACCACACCGUACAGUGGAUCACUUGGCUCGGGGGUCGAUGAAGAACGCAGCUAGCUGCGAGUCGGAAUGUGAACUGCAGGACAUAUGGAGCAUCGACACUUUGAACGCACAUUGCGGACAUGGGCUUGUCCCCUGUCCAUGUCUGGCUCAGGGUCGGCUUUACAUCCAUCCAGCUUGAUUGCUGGCGUUGGGGCGUCUCCUCGGCGGGCGGCUGCCGCUGCCUGCUGGGGAGUCCCCUGAAGAUGUGCCGCCUGCGUAGCCGGAGGUGAGCCCCUUGCUGACUCUUGGGUGUGACUCUUUUGCGUCUGCCUGGGUUGGCGAACCGAAGGGGGCUCGCUUCUGGUGGCGGGCUGACGGGUGGGGUGGAUUGUCCGGCCUCCGGCUGGCGCCCCCCGCCUGAACUGGGUGGCCCUGGGACCGAGAGGUGCCUGGCCGCCUUGCUGUUUUGACCUGAGAGCAGGCAAGGUUACCCGCUGAACUUAAGCAUA
rnacentral:rRNA from 1 species